UUGCUGAUAUGAUAAACGAGCACGUGAAAUCGUAUUAUCUUGACUUGGGCAAUCCUUACACUGAGAUGUACGCUGAUGCCUGGAAACGCGAGAGGGAGACCGUGAUGCACGGCGAUGAACCUGCAGUCUGCGAAGAUACCCGACUUUGAACGUAACAAUGACGUCGUGAACGUCUUAGCAUUUCGUGAUCAGAUACACUUCACGAUCACUUCCCCAGUAAACCAAAUCGAUUUAAGUACGACAAAAACGGAAUUGACACGAAUUCGUGCAAACUGAUACAAAUUCAAAAAAAUUGGCACAUAAGUGUUUUUAAUUCGCUCCAAUUCAGUUAAUUUCGUUUUUAGAUAUCCUUAAUUACAUUCGAUACGUUUUGGUUUACUGGGUUACUAACGAGGGGAAAUUACAUCAGUCUGCAACGAAAUCCUCCUCCGAAA